GGGCGGGGGAGAGGAAGGAAGGAAGGGGGAAGGAGAUGCCUGAAAAGACGGUCCUAGACGGCGACCCGGAAACCAGAAAGCUGAGGGGAGGGAUGGGGACUUCAGGGCAGAGCAAGACCGCACGGUAUUACCAUUUCCUUCAUUUUCGUUGCAUGGCAUAAAUCAGUAUGUUACUAUAAUGGCUAAAGGGAAAAGCAGAUUUUGGAACUGAGGAAACGAAAGGGAUAAAGAGACGUGGUUAGGUCAGAGAAUUUGGGUAGUAGUAGUUGCGAAGUCAGAUUCCUACGACUAACUCAUAUAGUUUGUUAUCUUCACGAGCUGACUCUCAUGCACGUAUUUUCCUGUACAAAUGAUGAGGUGUGAAAAGGAGGGAAGCCACAGGCAGCAAUUACCUACACACUUUCCCUGGGUGCGCGGGACCGAAGUGCUCCUGUGGUUGGACAGGGCACCCCAAGAAGUCAGAUGUCCGGAAUGUCUCAGUGUGUCAGUUAUAUAAUUAAAUAUAGUUUCCAAAGUUGGCAGUGAACUCAAAUCUCACCCUUCAUGCAGGCAAGGUUUAAUAUUUUAUAUUAAAUGCAAGCUAUUAUAUACAUUCAUACAGUGGAGGAAUCAUCCCGUUGUUUGAAAUUAUAGUAAUUGGUAAUUUGGCCUUUUGGAGUCAUACAUUGUUCUUUUAAAUUCUACCAGGAGGGAUCUUACAUGAAUACCCUUGAAUAUUGGUCUUCGAGAUGACCAUUUUCUCUACUGAGGAUGACCAAAUGAAAAUACCAGUAUAUUGAAGCUGACAGGGAAUGUACUAGAAAGCCAGAAAAAAAGGAAAGGACCCCUAAAAGAGGUGGCAAGACAUUUCCUUUAAUUGCUACACAUAUAACCUGUGGAUAAUUCCAUUACCUAGUCCAAUUCUAGGCAUCCUCAACACACUACUUUGAACAGAUCUCCAUCUUCUAAACAGUACUGGAUUAGAUCAGCUCACAUCUUUGGAAAUCAAUUCCUCAGCUAUUUUAUGAGUCAAAAACUGAGAACAAGUAAAAAAUCAAAACAGAACACUGGAAAGAGGCACUACAUGGAUACUCCAAGAAUUGGUGUUAGGAAUGGUCUUAUGUAAGAGUUAACAAAGAGUGGACUGCAAUUCAAGUACUGAACCUGGCAGCUUAAAACUCAAUCUGGACAUGUAUAC